CAAAAAAAAGAGAGGAAGAAUUCGAAAAUUAGGCCCCUAAUCCCACGUUGAAACCGUUUCCACCUAUCCCACAAAUCUCUCCCAUAUCCUUAACCCCCUUUCCCCUAUAUUAAGUCUUCAACCAUUACUUUUUUUCCUCACCCAGCGUCGCUGCAAACAAGAAGCAAGAAUCAUCCUCCAACUUCUACUCAAGUAACCAAAAUCCUCCAGCUUCAAGAACCAUUCUUUUCAAAUCCUUCCUGUUUUGAUUUCUCGUUCACAGAGGUGAGACUUCGCAAGGGAAUCGAGAUACCAAAGGGAAGGAAGUGUAGAGAAUUAAGCAAUUGAGGUUGAGCGGCGACGAGGAUGUGGUGGUGUUGAGCAAGUGAAUUUAAGAUAUUAUGGUUGUUUUUGAACCUUGGGUGUCGUUGUGUCUUCACACAUGACGUCACUCUUUCUCUUGGUCGUUUCCGUUGUGACUUUUCGUUUAUUCAUGUUCUAUUUGGGCCGACAACUUUAAUUGUUAGGAUAAUGGAUAUUCCGAAUUUCUUGUUGGAUAAUAUUAAACUCUUGGUUAUUUAAUUGGAUAUUAAUAGUUGGUCCAACUUGUGUUGAAACCCUAAUCUUUUUCGUCUGUUUAUUAAAUUCUUUUAAUCACGAUCGCCCGUAUUUAUUAACCCUAAAGGACGGUCGUGACAACUAUGGUAUGAAUGACAUAACUUUUAUCAAAUAUUUUGUCGUGUGUCCACUGAGUAUGUCAAGUACUCAGCCCUGCAUAUGUUUUCUUUAUGUGCAGGUUGAGCGGUGAUGUUGCGGCGGA